AUGGAAUAUGCAGAUUUAUUUGAGGAACCCCAAAACCUGCCUCCACAUAGGGAGUGUGACCACACAAUCCCUCUCAUGCCUGAGCCGAGAGACGAGUUCGCUAACGAGGAGCCCGUUGAGUUUGCUUACGAGGACCAAGUCAACUCUGACAACUUUGCAGAUCCGGGAGACGAGUUCGCUAACAAGGAGCCCAUUGAGUUUGCUUACGAGGAUCAAGUCAACUCUGACAACUUUGCAGAUGCAGGGCCCGAUGACUCCGUUCCAGAUGAUGCGCUUGAGCUCAAGUGGGAGUUCGACGAAGACUCACGCCAUUACUAUGUGUCUUUCCCUGAUGAUCAGUAG
rnacentral:rRNA from 1 species